rnacentral:sRNA from 1 species
GGCUGGACAGCUCUGGGGGGCUGCAUCUUCAUGUUAAUGGGGUGGACCAGGGGGUAGCUGUGCCAGAUGUGCCCCAGCCCUGCUACGCGCUUGUGGACCUCUAUGGGCAGUGUGAGCAGGUGACAAUCGUGAACCCUGAGCCAGGGGCUGCCAGUGGGAAAAGUGCUGGAACCCAAGGGGACAUGGAGAAAGCAGACAUGGUGGACGGUGUGCCAGCCCAAAGGGACCCAGCUCCUGCCCCUACUCCCCCGCCCUCACCCUUCUAGCCCAGCUCCUGUGACCUGUGCCCCUCUGCUCCCUCAGGUAUCAAAGAGAGUGUGUGCUGGGGUCCACCACCUGCCGCUAGUCCUCUAAAGAGCUGCGAGUACCAUGCCCUUUGCUCUCGCUUCCAAGAACUCCUGCUGCUUCCUGAAGAUUAUUUCAUGCCUCCGCCAAAGCGAAGCCUGUGCUACUGUGAGUCUUGCCGGAAGCUGCGAGGAGACGAGGCCCACAGGCGCAGAGGGGAGCCUCCCCGGGAAUAUGCACUGCCCUUUGGCUGGUGCAGGUUCAACCUCAGAGUGAAUCCCCGCCUGGAGGCUGGGACACUAACCAAGAAGUGGCACAUGGCAUAUCACGGGAGCAAUGUUGCCGCUGUACGGAGAGUGCUGGACCGAGGGGAGCUGGGAGCAGGUACUGCCUCCAUCCUGAGCUGCCGUCCUUUGAAGGGAGAACCUGGGGUAGGGUUCGAGGAGCCUGGCGAGAACUGUGCACCUCCUCGGGAGGAGCAGCCCCCUCCUGUGCUGCUUUCCCCCUCCCUUCAAUAUGCUGGGGCGGAGACCCUGGCCUCCAAAGUG